rnacentral:lncRNA from 1 species
UAUCUGCCCUUCUCAUUAGCCAAGAGGCAACGGAAGAAGGUAAAAAAACGAAAUGGUCGAGAGAUAUUUUUUUGGAGAGGCCAAUACUUGGUUGGCACAACGAGCUUCUUCCGAAACUCAGAAAUGGAAACGAAGAUUUGUUCUUCAAUUUCACUCGUAUGUCGGUUAAACAGUAUGACUAUUUAUUGUCUCUUGUGAGUGAGAAAAUGACCAAAAAAAAAAAAAAAAAAAAAAAACACUUGCAUGAGGAAACCUCUGACACCAUCUGAGAAGCUUUCUGUAUGCUUAAGGAAAACAUGUUGAAAUAAAAGCUCCUGCAUUGGCAGGUUCGACAUAUACGAACUACAAAAAAUUCAACAGCAUAGUGUUGAUGGCAUCUUGUGACGCAAAUUACUGUUUUGUAUUUGUAGAUAUAGGUAUAAUAAUUCUCAUAGAUUAUAGUAAUAAUGUUGUACCCAAAAUAUUUUAUUUAAAAAAUUACAUAUACGACUUUAAUAAAAAUUUUGUACGUUU